rnacentral:rRNA from 1 species
UACGGAGGGUGCAAGCGUUGCUCGGAAUUAUUGGGCGUAAAGGGUAGGUAGGUGGUCUCAUUUGUCUGGGGUGAAAGCCUUGAGCUUAACUCAAGAAGUGCCCCAGAAACGGUGAGACUAGAGUCCUGGAGAGGGUCGUGGAAUUCCCGGUGUAGCGGUGAAAUGCGUAGAGAUCGGGAGGAACACCAGAGGCGAAGGCGGCGACCUGGACAGGUACUGACGCUGAGACGCGAAAGCGUGGGGAGCAAACAGG